rnacentral:tRNA from 1 species
GCCCGGGUGGCGUAAUGGUAGCCGCGGAAGACUUAAAAUUUUCUGUCAUCUAAUGGCGUGCGGGUUCGAGUCCCGCCCUGGGCA